UACGGAGGAUGCAAGCGUUAUCCGGAAUGAUUGGGCGUAAAGCGUCCGCAGGUGGCGAUGUAAGUCUGCUGUUAAAGAGUCUAGCUCAACUAGAUAAGAGCAGUGGAAACUACAUAGCUAGAGUACGUUCGGGGCAGAGGGAAUUCCUGGUGUAGCGGUGAAAUGCGUAGAGAUCAGGAAGAACACCAGUGGCGAAGGCGCUCUGCUAGGCCGUAACUGACACUGAGGGACGAAAGCUAGGGGAGCGAACGGG
rnacentral:rRNA from 1 species